UGGGGAAUAUUGCACAAUGGGGGAAACCCUGAUGCAGCAACGCCGCGUGAGCGAUGAAGGCCUUCGGGUCAUAAAGCUCUGUCUUCGCUGAAGAAAUUUGACGGUAAGCGAGGAGGAAGCCACGGCUAACUACGUGCCAGCAGCCGCGGUAAUACGUAGGAGGCAAGCGUUGUCCGGAAUUAUUGGGCGUAAAGGAUGCGUAGGUGGUCUUUUAAGUGAGAUGUGAAAUCCCUGGGCUUAACCCAGGAACUGCAUUUCAAACUGGAAGACUAGAGUGCAGGAGAGGAAAGUGGAAUUCCUAGUGUAGCGGUGAAAUGCGUAGAGAUUAGGAGGAACACCAGUGGCGAAGGCGACUUUCUGGACUGUAACUGACACUGAGGCAUGAAAGCGUGGGGAGCAAACAGGAUUAGAUACCCUGGUAGUCCACGCCGUAAACGAUGAGUACUAGGUGUAGGGGUCGAACCGUCUGUGCCGCAGUUAACACAUUAAGUACUCCG
rnacentral:rRNA from 1 species